AAAUUGAAGAGUUUGAUCAUGGCUCAGAUUGAACGCUGGCGGCAGGCCUAACACAUGCAAGUCGAACGGUAACAGGAAGCAGCUUGCUGCUUCGCUGACGAGUGGCGGACGGGUGAGUAAUGUCUGGGAAACUGCCUGAUGGAGGGGGAUAACUACUGGAAACGGUGGCUACUACUGGAAACGGUGGCUA
rnacentral:rRNA from 1 species